UUGGCUUGACCCAAUCUGCGUCUGAAUUUGCUUGAUAAAAUUUGUUUUUCUGGAAGUGCGCACAUGACAGUUAAAGUGCCAGGGUUGUUUAGAGAUUAAUAUUGGGGCGGAUUGCUAUAUCUAUGCGAAAACGGGGGUAGAAGAGGGUUGUUAUUAUUAGGGUGUGGGCCAUAAUAGUUUGCAGCACAUCAGCCAGACUGGCAAGGCUGAAUCUGUUCUAAGUUUAGCUUUCACUUAAUGUAAAUUAGAACUACUAAAUUAAAUUACUUCAAGUAUUUACUGAAAUAAGAAAAGGGAUCUUUACCCCACUUCGGGAACUCAAGACUGUUCCUCUGAUAGUAGCUGGUUACAACUUUUUUUCACAAGACUACAUAAAGUGAUUAUUUUUUACUUUUCAGUUUGCAGCGCAGGAGGAAAAGCAAGUGUGACGAUGCCAAAAGGACAGUAAGCAAGAAAUACCGGGAUUCUGUAGCCUUGGGGUGCCUGGCUGGAAAGCAGAAAAAGGGUUUGCAAAAGGCUGAUACCUAUGAGAGACAUCCACGCAGAGACUUCGACCCUUAGCAGCGGCUUGGGCGACUGGCGGCACUUAGACCCUCUGUAAAUUACCGCACAUCCCCAAUCCUCAGUGGAGACGAGCAACACAGAUGAAUAUUUGAAGGAUAUCACAAGGUCAAGCUGAAGAAGAAUCUCUCCCAAUUUUCAGCAUCCUUUUACAAAUGCACUCCUGACCUUUACAAAUGAAUGAAUAUUUGUCUGGAGGUUCGCUGGGCUGCCUCUGCCAUACCCGGAUACAUCUGUGAGUGCUGUAAGCAGACACCGCUUCUGAAAAUAGGAUCCACAAAAGGUGUUGCUAAGUGAGUGUAUGUGAAAACAUUUUUGUGCAGCGCAGUUUAAAACCCUCUGUCUGGUAUGGAAAUCAGAGAAAGAAGAAAUCAUAAGUGUUCCUAUUAUUGUAAAUUAACUUCUGUAGUUAUUUACACCUACCUUGAAAGGGAAAUCUUUGGAGCUAUUUUAGUUUUUGUAUAUUACAGCUGAUAGCACUCACGUUAAUCUCUCUGGGUCUAGACACAAUGAACUUAAAAUGUUCCACAGUAAAAGGGUUAAAAUCCUCCAAUGUUUAGAAGGAUAAAAAUUGUUAAUAAUCCACAGAAUGCAGUAGGUGUUUACUAUUAUAUUCUACUUCCUGUUACUGCAGUCUAAAAAAGAAAAAGCCACUGAGCUAAUUAAAUUACAUAAGGAAGACGUUAAGAAUCAAUAUUAAAGGAAAAUUGGUUUUGACUACCGUCUGUAUUUAUGCUGAAGUAAUGAUGAGUAAUACGAUUCAGGUUUCAUUUGUUCAAAGUCCACAAGAUAAUGUGCAUGCUCAGCAGAAGAAAAAUAUACAUCCAGGCAACAGACUACUAUGUGAAAGUAAUUUCACACUGAAUGACAACAUAUAAAGCUUGUUUUUUCACAGUGGAUGAACUUCUGGCUUGCUGUUGCUUGGCUGGCCUUCCUGGUUUUGUCAGUAACAGCACAGGAAAGUAAGCAAAAUAAAACUCAAAGUUUGAUGUCGUUCUAAGAGCAAAGCAAAGCGGCAGACAAUGCUUGCUGUAAGCGCAGUGUUCGUUCUGGCACAAUGCAAAGAAACUGCAAAAUCAUUUCACUGAAAUUUUAAUGAACUUAAAUGAAGAACACUGCAGUUUAAUGGACUUUAUGCAAUGGUCUGAAGCUCAUCCUUUCGCAAUACAGCUUUUCAUGGGUUGGCUUGGUUUGGUUAUUUUCAUUAGCACUUUACAUCUGCCUCUUUUGAAUGCCAGCGUGGAUGCAGCCGAUCAAAAAGAACCCGGCUUGUGCUUGACUUUGUUCCAAGCCGGGAAGUGCCAUGCACUGAGCAGCAGAGAGAGACCUGUGCGGCGGAGUGACGGCACGGUGACAUAAUGGUGUGGACAGGCCUGUCACAGCAUUAGCUUCAGACAUCCAAGCCUAGAAGUUCUUAUCUCCAAGUGUUAAGAGUUAUAUCCUUCCUAUCACUGUUGUUACCCCACAAAUCCAAAUGAAUCAUUUCUGUCUUCUGAAUGCUUUCAAUGGAAAUCAGGAAAGAAAAUAUUAUUUUUUUCUCUGUUGCUGAUCUAAUUUUGGCCCUUGUUUGAUCCUCAGACAAAUCUAGACCACCUUUGUCUUGACUUGACACCUGGGCCAACUUCUGGUGUCAGUGUCCUGGAAAGAGAUAUCUGCAUUUCCAGUGUUGGACUGGACCAGAGCAGCGUUUCGGGCUGCCAUCCUGAGAACUCCUUGCCCCGCGCCAGAGUCCUGAGCCCUUCCCUUCCUCCCGAAGCCACAGCACUCGCAGUGUCCCACAUUGGCUGUCCCUGCAGGGAGUGCACAGCUUCCUGCUGAUGGAAUGGGCUGAGUAUAAUCCUGGUAUAUUUUAUAUUGGUAUCGGGAUCAAUAUUGAUUCUUAAUAUUAUUAAUGUUAAUUAUUUAGUCUUAUUCUAUUAAACCUGUUUAUAUUUCAACCCUCGGGUUUCCUUGUUUUUCCCAGUUCCCCUUCCUGGGUGGGGAGGCAUCAUUGGGUGAGAGAAUAAUUGUCUAAAUGACGAUAAAUUGUUGCGGGUUCUUCAAACCGUAAGACAGUUUUUUUGCUGCCUGGGCUGCGUGAGCAUGUCUGCACCACACAGCCCAUGUUCUGUCAUGUCCAGAUCCGGGACCAAGCUCUGAAUGAAGAGUAUUUGCAUGGGACAUGUACCAGGGUGUUGUACCCAAGCCAAGAUCCCCUGCCUGUCACUGGGUACUUGGCCUCGGUGGAACAACAAAGCAGCGUGGGCAAAGAGUUUCCUGUGCCCAAGGUAGCUUGUUCUGACAUCCCUACACGUUAGCAUAUUGUGAAGUAUAGGUGUAAUUCUAAUUCUUUUUUUUUUUUUUUGUUGAAGCCGUUUCAUCUCCCAGAAAUACUUCAGUGCUCACAAAGCUACAGAGCGUGUGUGAACAACAGUUUAGAUUUUGAGCCAGUGAAUCCUUGCAUACCAAUAACAAUCACAAAUACAAUGACUUUUGCUGUAUAAAAUGAAAGUAUGCUUAUCCAGAUCAGUCUGCAGGACGGGAAACUUUGAAAAAGUUCACAAGUUCCACUUUAUGGAACUGUUUUGAACAGUGUUUAAUUCACGUGACAAACGUUUGAAGAAUUGAACACUUUUAUCAUUAAAUGAUAUUUUAUUUUAAAUUAAAAUAUGUUUCUAAAUGCAUGACAAUAAAGUCUGAUGUCUUAGCUACCCAUACUUGCUCCUCUGAGAAAAUAAAGUCUCAAAUACCCUAAAUUCCACAGUCUGGAGCAAUUUAGGUCUCCUUAGAGAUCACAGUUUGAACUACAAAUGCAAUAAGGGCUGCAUCCUGCUGUAACUGAAAUCCUUCCUAAGUCUACUUCUGCUUUUCAAUCUCUCUAAUUUUUCAUCAGAUCAAGAGUCACACAUUUUUGU